rnacentral:lncRNA from 1 species
AUUAGAUUAAAUUAUAUCUUUGAAUUUGGUAGUUGUUAAUGCAAUUUAGAGUAUCCUUUUAGAAUUGGGGUUUUAUUGAUUUGAUAAUCCCUUUAAUUGUAGUAGGUUCCAUCUAAUAAGAUGUAAUAUCAUGGAAUUUACAAUUAAUUUAGACUAUUGAUUUGGUUUGGUUUGGUUUAUUAUCAUGGGAUUUACAAUUAAUUUGUAUCAGAGAAAAGCAUAGUGCUAUGCCUUAACUAUUUUAAAUCAAGUUAGUAUUGGUUACUUACAUUACGGUAUUUUGGUUAUAAAGAUGUCAAAAUUGAAUUAGUGAUAUGUCUAGAUUAAGCAUGUCGUUGCAAUAUGUAUGUUUUAGUAUAUAUAGUUUCACGUUCAUUAUGUCAACGUAAAAACAAACCUAAGAUUAAUCGAGAGUAACACGAGAAAAAACAUUAUGAUUGAAACAUUACAGUGA